UACGAGGGGGGCAAGCGUUGUUCGGAAUUACUGGGCGUAAAGAGUGUGUAGGCGGUGCUCUAAGUUCGGUGUGAAAUCUCCUGGCUCAACUGGGAGGGUGCGCCGGAAACUGGAGUGCUUGAGCGUGGGAGAGGAAAGCGGAAUUCCUGGUGUAGCGGUGAAAUGCGUAGAUAUCAGGAGGAACACCUGUGGUGUAGACGGCUUUCUGGACCAUAGCUGACGCUGAGACACGAAAGCGUGGGUAGCAAACAGG
rnacentral:rRNA from 1 species